CUCGGUCAAGUAGAACCGACGGCGACGCGGCGACUGACUUUGAAGAGUUGGAAUUGAGUAUUAACAAGCAUCAAAGUCACUGUUGAAAGAUGUAAUGUACAACAUUUGAAAGGAUUACAAGGAUAAUUAUCAUUAUACAGAUCUCCCAGGAUGUGCUAUUUAAGUAUGUAAAGCUAAAGACAAGGAAGAAAUCACCAUUUUUAAAAGGUCUCCCAGGAUGUGCUGUUUAACUAUGUAAAGCUAAAGAAGAGGAAGAAAUCACCAUUUUAACAGGUUAAACUAAUGCCUAAAUUUAGUUUUUAGCUCACCUGAGCUGAAGGCUCAAGUGAGCUCUUCUGAUCACAUUUUGUCUGGUGUCUGUCUGUCUGUAAACUUUUCACAUUUUGGACUUCUUUUCAAGAACUGCUGGGCCAAUUUCAAGCAAACUUGCCAGUGGCACAAAGCAUCCUUGGAUGAAGGGUAUUCAAAAUUGUUCAAAUGGAAGGCCAAGCCCUCUUCCAAGGGAAGAUAAUUAUGAAUU